UACGGAGGGAGCUAGCGUUGUUCGGAAUUACUGGGCGUAAAGCGCGCGUAGGCGGCUUUGUAAGUUAGAGGUGAAAGCCCGGGGCUCAACUCCGGAAUUGCCUUUAAGACUGCAUCGCUAGAAUUGUGGAGAGGUAAGUGGAAUUCCGAGUGUAGAGGUGAAAUUCGUAGAUAUUCGGAAGAACACCAGUGGCGAAGGCGACUUACUGGACACAUAUUGACGCUGAGGUGCGAAAGCGUGGGGGAGCAAACAGG
rnacentral:rRNA from 1 species